GGUGGGGUUCCCGAGCGGCCAAAGGGAGCAGACUGUAAAUCUGCCGUCAUCGACUUCGAAGGUUCGAAUCCUUCCCC
rnacentral:tRNA from 4 species